GAGUUUUCGAUAUUAAUUAAAUGCGCCUUAAAAGCAGAUAUAUGCAUCGAUACUAUGACCUGUGAAGAGUGUAACGUUUGCGUUGACAACACAAUAGGGUUUUUGACGUAGAUGUGUUCUCUUGCAACCCACACAGUCCAGGUUCGAAUCCCAAGAUUGCCCCAUUGAUAGCGCCAUGGGUUAUGACUGCAACAUUAGAGUUAAAAGGAUUCUUACAAUGUGAACAGAACAGGGUCACAAAGUUCAUAUGUACAGCGUCGUGCCUUCUACAUUGCCCUGUUCGGAGCUAGUUGUGACUAGCUGAAUAAAUAGAAGUCCUUAUCCUAGACAGAUAUGUCGUUAGAUACAACUAUCAUAUUGUGUAUAUGUUGCUACAGAUACUAAUAUUUUAUUGUAAAUUGUAUUUUUAUAUUGUCUAGUAUUGUUUGUCAUCGUGAAAGAUUACGAUGGUUGUAUGAGAGAAUUCUUUGCUACGCCGCAGCACACCCUUAGAGUAUGUUUCAUUUCUAAAACACUAUUCACCUGUGCGGAUUAACAACACUUUGUUUGUACUUAUUACCAACGUGCCCUGGACCGUGUAAUCAUGAACGUGUUCAUCACAGUGUAACCAAAUCCAGGUGUGGUUAGGUACACUAGGUAUUACUAUUUCCACAAGUCAUGCUGUGUUUAAUAUGAUUAUUUAUCUCGUAUUUUGUUGUCAUAAUUACAUUCGAAACAAUAUUUUGGACAUGAAUCGUAAUCCGUUUUGGAUUAGAUUUGAAUAGAGGAGAGAGGCCUAGAUGGUCUGGCAAUGGUGUUGUAUUUGGUAAUACUAUAAAGACAAGGGUAUUUCGUAUUACGUUGAUUUUUAGAACUUGUUUUCUUUCUUAAAUAUAUUUUGUUUCGCUUUUCAUUGCCAUUGCAGAUAUAUAAGAGGUAUAUUAUCGUAGCUACUUCAGUUUAUAUUGUUUUCUUUUUUUUGUUAUAGAUUUAUAGUGCUUUUACUGCAUGAUUUGUUAGAUAUCGUUACCAUUGUUACCUGUAAAUAAACUGUUCUGGGA